GAUGAACGCUGGCGGCGUGCCUAAUACAUGCAAGUCGAGCGAACGGACGAGAAGCUUGCUUUUCUGAUGUUAGCGGCGGACGGGUGAGUAACACGUGGAUAACCUACCUAUAAGACUGGGAUAACUUCGGGAAACCGGAGCUAAUACCGGAUAAUAUUUUGAACCGCAUGGUUCAAAAGUGAAAGACGGUCUUGCUGUCACUUAUAGAUGGAUCCGCGCUGCAUUAGCUAGUUGGUAAGGUAACGGCUUACCAAGGCAACGAUGCAUAGCCGACCUGAGAGGGUGAUCGGCCACACUGGAACUGAGACACGGUCCAGACUCCUACGGGAGGCAGCAGUAGGGAAUAUUCCGCAAUGGGCGCAAGCCUGACGGAGCAACGCCGCGUGAGUGAUGAAGGUCUUCGGAUCGUAAAACUCUGUUAUUAGGGAAGAACAUAUGUGUAAGUAACUGUGCACAUCUUGACGGUACCUAAUCAGAAAGCAACGGCUAACUACGUG
rnacentral:rRNA from 1 species